rnacentral:tmRNA from 1 species
GGGGGCGUCCCGGUUUCGACGGGGACGCGGAGAUUGGAGUAGCGGGCGGAUGCGCCUACCAUCCAUAAAAUGGGCAAUUAUAAAUUAAAGAACAACGAUAACGUCGUUCUGGCCGCGGCCUAAGCCGUGACCCGUCUCCCCCGGGAGUGCCUCGGCCCGGGUGUGAGGCGUCGAUCAGAGGCGGACGUGCGUGCGCAAAGCUUUGAGCGCACCAUGCAUCAUGAAGCUACCUGAGCCGGGGGUUUGUUGUCUGUCCGCCGGGGAAGGGAACAGGGAUGCAGAAUCCCGCAACAAGCAACUGCGCCCGGAGAAGCUCCCUUUGAAGUGUUUUCGGACAGGGGUUCGACUCCCCUCGCCUCCACCA